rnacentral:tRNA from 1 species
GGGGGUAUAGCUUAGUGGCAGAGCACAUGCUUAGCAUGCACGAGGUCCUGGGUUCAAUCCCCAGUAUCUCUA